GUGACAUCAGAGGCAUAAGCGGUCUGAUCGGUGAACCAGAAAGUGCAGCACACUGUAUCUGCCGAUCAGUAAUCAUGACAUACAGAGGCGUAUGCAAGCAUGGGCAGUCCCUUUUGAAAAACUCUGAACUGCAAAGGAUCCUGCCAGGAGUUCCAGGGCAUUAAUUCAGUCUCUGACCAAUGACCUACUGUUGUCACACCCUCGCAGAGGGCGCCCCA